UACGGAGGGUGCAAACGUUGCUCGGAAUUACUGGGCGUAAAGCGUGCGUAGACGGUUAUUUAAGUCGGGUGUGAAAGCCCCGGGCUCAACCUGGGAAUUGCAUUCGAGACUGAAUAGCUAGGGUACGGUAGAGGGAAGCGGAAUUUCCGGUGUAGCGGUGAAAUGCGUAGAUAUCGGAAGGAACAUCAGUGGCGAAAGCGGCUUCCUGGACCAGUACCGACGUUCAGGCACGAAAGCGUGGGGAGCAAACAGG
rnacentral:rRNA from 1 species